UUAGCAUGCGUGUGCUGGCUACAGGUUAAUACGUUAGCAAGCGUGUGCUGGCUACAGGUUAAUACGUUAGCAUGCGUGUGCUGGCUACAGGUUAAUACGUUAGCAAGCGUGUGCUGGCUACAGGUUAAUACAUUAGCAUGCGUGUGCUGGCUACAGGUUAAUACGUUAGCAUGUGUGUGCUGGCUACAGGUUAAUACGUUAGCAAGCGUGUGCUGGCUACAGGUUAAUACAUUAGCAUGCGUGUGCUGGCUACAGGUUAAUACGUUAGCAUGCGUGUGCUGGCUACAGGUUAAUACGUUAGCAAGCGUGUGCUGGCUACAGGUUAAUACGUUAGCAUGCAUGUGCUGGCUACAGGUUAAUACGUUAGCAUGCGUGUGCUGGCUACAGGUUAAUACGUUAGCAUGAGUGUGCUGGCUACAGGUUAAUACGUUAGCAUGCAUGUGCUGGCUACAGGUUAAUAUGUUAGCAAGCGUGUGCUGGCUACAGGUUAAUAUGUUAGCAAGCGUGUGUUGGCUACAGGUUAAUACAUUAGCAUGCGUGUGCUGGCUACAGGUUAAUAUGUUAGCAAGCGUGUGCUGGCUACAGGUUAAUAUGUUAGCAUGUGUGUGCUGGCUACAGGUUAAUACAUUAGCAUGCGUGUGCUGGCUACAGGUUAAUACGUUAGCAUGCGUGUGCUGGCUACAGGUUAAUACAUUAGCAUGCGUGUGCUGGCUACAGGUUAAUACUUUAGCAAGCAUGUGCUGGCAUACAGGUUAAUGUGUUUGUAUGUGUGUGCUGGCUACAGGUUGGGGAGCAUCCCAUGUAAAAUGUUGAGCUCACUAUAUUCUGUAACCCAAACAGUGAGUCACUGCAAAUAGAUAUGUUCUCCCUCUUCAGAG